ensembl:lncRNA
UGGUUGGUCACUCAUCACCACUGGCAACCCUAGCAUGGGGUGGCCAUCUCCACACGGACUCUCUCUCUGUUGUGUCCCAUCACACUCUCAGGCAGUCCUCUUGGGCAAGAUCUCUUUUCCUCUUUUUUAAAAACAGGGUCUUGCUAUGUUGCCUAAGCUGGAGUGCAGUGGCUAUUCAUAGGCGCAAUCAUAGCUCGCUGUGGCCUCCAACUCCUGGGCUCAAGCAGUCCUCCUGCCUCAGCCUCCCAAGUAGCUGGGACUGUAGUCACACCCCCACAGUGCCAGGCAAAAUCUCUUUAUAAAUGAUGCCAGGUCAGAAUUCAUACAUCAUGUUUCACCUCUGGUCCCAGAAAAUAAGCACCUUAGACCCACUGCUUGGGGAGCGCAGCUGCUUCUAAGGCAGCCUCGAAACCUUUUUUUUUCAAUGACAAAUUUAUUGAGAUAUAAUGCACAUAUCAUAAAAUUCAGCACUGAAGCACAUUUCCAUGGGUGUUAACAUAUUCACAAGGUUGCAUAACCAUCCCCUCUUUCUAAUUUCAAAUAUUUUCAUCACUCCAAAAAGAAACCCCUGACGCAUUAGCAAUCAUUCUGCAUUCCCUCCUUCUUCUAACCUCUGGAACCACCAAUCUACUUCCUGUUUCUAUGAAUUUUUUAUUCUGGACAUUUCAUAUAAAUGGAACUGUACAAGAUGUAGUCUUUUGUGUCUGCCUUCUUUAACUUAGCAUUAUGUUUUCAAGGUUCAUCCAUGUUGUAGCAUGAAUCAGAUCACCAUUUCUUUUUAUGACUGAAAAUAUUCCAUGGUUUGGAGAUACCACAUUUUGUUUAUUUAUGUUUGUUUAUUGAUGGACAUUUGGGUUGUUUCCAUUUGUUGGUUAUUAUGAAUAAUGCUACUAUGAGCAUUCAUGUGCAAGUUUUUGUAUGGACAUAUGUUUUCAUUUUUCUUGGGCAUAUACAUAGGAGCACAAUUGCCUGGUCAUAUGGUGACUCUAUGUUUAAAUUUUUGAGGAACUGCCAAACUGUUUUCCAAAAUGGCUGCACCAUUUUACAAUCCCAUCGCAAUGUAUGAGGGUUUCUAAUUUCUCCAUAUCCUGGCCAGUGCUUCCUGUUUUGUUUUCUUUGUUAUUUUACACAUCUAGCAGACAUGAAGUAGUAUUUCACUGAGGCUUUGAUUUGCAUUUUCCCAAACUACCAGAUGAUGUUGAGCAGCUGUUCAUGUACUUAUUAGUCCCUUGUAUAUCUUCUUUAGAGAAAGUCUAUUCAAAUCCUUUGCCCAUUGUUUUUCAAAUUCUAUUUUUGUUCAGGGGGUAAAUGUCCAGGUUUGACACAUUAGUAAAUUGUGUGUCACUGAGGUUUGGUGUACAAAUGAUCCCAUCACCCAGGUAGUGGGCAUAGGUAGUUUUUCAACCCUCACCCUUCUUCCAUCCUCCCUCCUCUAGUAGCCCCCAGUGUCAGUGGACAAGGCAGCUCCUGCCAAUGAGCCCAGCAUUUGGAAGGCCAGGGAAGGAGGAUUGCUUUUGCCCAAGAAUUUGAGAACAGCCAGGGCAACAUAGUGAGACUCUGUCUCUACAAAAAAAAAAAAAAAAAAA